rnacentral:misc_RNA from 1 species
AACGUCUCACUUGCUAUGAUAGGACACAUGACCGAGGGAUCAUAUAUAAAACCUGCAAUCACCUUCAAUUAUGCAACCAAUCGAUGCAUCACAAGAUUUGAGAGUUGCCUCGAGAAAGGAAUUCUGCACUCCGAAUUCAUCCAUGUUCAUACGGGCAAAAAUUUCAACGUUUAAGCCUGCGCUUAUGGAGGACAAAAGAAUGACAAAACACUCCACUUCGGCUUCAUCUAGAUCG